UACGAAGGGGGCUAGCGUUGCUCGGAAUCACUGGGCGUAAAGGGUGCGUAGGCGGGUCUUUAAGUCAGGGGUGAAAUCCUGGAGCUCAACUCCAGAACUGCCUUUGAUACUGAGGAUCUUGAGUUCGGGAGAGGUAAGUGGAGUUCCGAGUGUAGAGGUGAAAUUCGUAGAUAUUCGGAAGAACACCAGUGGCGAAGGCGACUUACUGGACACAUACUGACGCUGAGGUGCGAGAGCGUGGGGAGCAAACAGG
rnacentral:rRNA from 1 species